rfam:Macrostomum lignano uti_cns_0008623, whole genome shotgun sequence.
GGGCAGGCUCAGCCAAGCGGCUACUUCGUUAGUUAUCUAAUUGGUAAGAUGUUCUGCUGUCACCAGAAAGGUUGUUGGUUCGAGUCCAACCUAACGCUCAUUCUUGCUGCUGGCGCCAUCCUGCCAUUUU